rnacentral:SRP_RNA from 2 species
GCUGGGCAUUGUGGUGCAUGCCUGUAGUCCCAGCUACUUGGGAGGCUGAGGCAUGAGAAUCACUUGAACCCAGGAGGCAGAGGUUGCAGUGAGCUGAGAUCACACCACUGCACUCCAGCCUGGGUGACAGAGUGAGACCCUGUCUCAA